rnacentral:rRNA from 1 species
UACGUAGGGGGCAAGCGUUAAUCGGAAUUACUGGGCGUAAAGCGUGCGCAGGCGGUUUUGUAAGCCAGAUGUGAAAUCCCCGGGCUUAACCUGGGAAUGGCAUUUGGGACUGCAAGGCUGGAGUUUGGCAGAGGAGACUGGAAUUCCUGGUGUAGCAGUGAAAUGCGUAGAUAUCAGGAGGAAUACCGAUGGCGAAGGCAGGUCUCUGGGCUGAAACUGACGCUCAUGCACGAAAGCGUGGGGAGCAAACAGG